rnacentral:rRNA from 1 species
AUAAUGGGUCAGCGACUUAUAUUCUGUAGCAAGGUUAACCGAAUAGGGGAGCCGAAGGGAAACCGAGUCUUAACUGGGCGUUAAGUUGCAGGGUAUAGACCCGAAACCCGGUGAUCUAGCCAUGGGCAGGUUGAAGGUUGGGUAACACUAACUGGAGGACCGAACCGACUAAUGUUGAAAAAUUAGCGGAUGACUUGUGGCUGGGGGUGAAAGGCCAAUCAAACCGGGAGAUAGCUGGUUCUCCCCGAAAGCUAUUUAGGUAGCGCCUCGUGAAUUCAUCUCCGGGGGUAGAGCACUGUUUCGGCAAGGGGGUCAUCCCGACUUACCAACCCGAUGCAAACUGCGAAUACCGGAGAAUGUUAUCACGGGAGACACACGGCGGGUGCUAACGUCCGUCGUGAAGAGGGAAACAACCCAGACCGCCAGCUAAGGUCCCAAAGUCAUGGUUAAGUGGGAAACGAUGUGGGAAGGCCCAGACAGCCAGGAUGUUGGCUUAGAAGCAGCCAUCAUUUAAAGAAAGCGUAAUAGCUCACUGGUCGAGUCGGCCUGCGCGGAAGAUGUAACGGG